rnacentral:misc_RNA from 1 species
UCAUCUUCUCCAAAAACAAUUGCAGCAGCAUGUCUCUUUAGGAAAAAUAAUUUCUUCGCAUCAGACACAAAGUUCACAAAAUACGUAGAAUAGAACAAAAUUUAAAGUCUCGCAUGCCGGUGGUAGCAAAAGUAAUGCAAGAGAGGUCGUCAAAUUGAGCAAAAAUUGGGAAUGCCUAUGUGCCGAAGUGAAGUUCUAUUGUCAACUUUACAGAAAAAGAAUGGUAAUUAUGUGAAUGAAGAAGGAAAGAUUUUAGAUGAUAAAAUAUCGGAGCAUCUACUUGAAGAUCAAGAACAAGGUGCUACAUUAGGUGUUCCGUUGAAGAUAUUGGUUCAUCCAAUGAUGCCAUUGGAAAAGUGUAUGGAGUUGAACAUUCUGGUCGUGUGCGUGGUAUAGGUGGUAAUAUUUGUUUUUCUGUUGUUUUUGGGAUGCCUAGACAUUCAAUUAGACAUGAAAAUGUCGAUAGUCUCGGUAAUACGCCUCAUCAACGUGUUGAAGAGCUACAGAAACAUGUGAAAACUUUGGAAGAGAAACUGACUGGAUAUGAAGAGACUAAGAAAAAGCUUGAGGAAUCCAAGAAACGACUUGCAAAAAAAGAGAAUCACUUGGAAACUCUUCAUAGAUUUUUACAAGUCGAAUUUGGUAAUGAAUUGCCUAGUUUCAAUAUAGAUUCUCCUUAGUUUAUAUUGUUGCUUCAACCUUUUGCAUUUUGAUUACACCAGCAGUACUUUU